GUCAGGCCAUACGAGGACCAGAUUCAAGCCAUAGAGAGAACCAGACUCAGGACUUAGUGAGGACAAGAGUCAGUGCGUAGUCAGGAUCAGAGUCAGUUUUUAGUGAGGACCGUAGUCAGGCCAUAGAGAAGCCUUGUCAGGGCAUCGUGAGAAGCUGUGUCAUGCAAUAGAUAGGAAUAGAGUGAGGCUGUAGUGAAGACCAGAAGGAGGCUGUAGUGAGGGGCAUAGUGAGGACAUAGUGGGCCAGAGUGAGACCAUAGUGAUGACAAGAGUGAGGACACAGUGGGGACCGGCGUGAGGCUGCAGUGAGGGUGAGAGUCAGGCCCCAGGAAGCAGGUCAGAACCCAGUGAGCGUGAGAGUCUGCGCCAAAGCGGAGCAGAGUCAGGCUGCAGUGAGGACCUGAAUCACGGCCCAGUGAGCAAUCGCGUCAAGGUCCAGUGAGGACAGGAGUCAGGCCCAGUGAGGAAAGAGUCAGCCCACAGAGAGGACCAGAGUCAGGCCACAGAGAGCAUCAUUGACAGGGCAGAAUCGGUGCACAGUGAGGAGCAGAGUCAGGUCCUAGCGAGCAUGAAAGUCAGGCCCUAGUGAGGACCAAAGUGAGGCCAUAGCGAGGACCAGAAUCAUGGCCCAGUGAGAAAAAGUGUCAGCAUCCAGUGAAGAAAAGAAUCAGGCCCCAGUGAGGCAAGGAGUCAGGCCAUGGUGAGGAUGAGAGUCAUGCCAGGGUGAGGCAUGUCAGGUCCUAGUUAGGACAAGAGUCAGGCCAAAGUGAGGAUGAGAGUCAGGCCCUAGUUAGGACUGGAGUCAAGCCACAGUGUGGACCAGAGUUAAAACCCCAUGAUGACCGGAUUCAAGGACUAGUAAGGAAGAGUGCCUGGCCCUACUGAGUACAAGGGUCAUGUCAUAGGAUCAGAUUCAGGGCCCAGUAUGGAACAGUGUCAAGCUCCAGUAAGGACAAGAGUCAGGCUCCAGUGAGGUAAACAGUCAGCCUGUAAGUAGACAAAAUUCAGGCCAUGGAGGACAGUCAGGACAUAGUGAGGACGAGAGUCUGACCGUGGUGAGGAUGAAAGUCAGGCCAAAGAGAAGACCAGUGUCAAGCUGUAGUGAGGACCAAAGUUAGAGCCCAGUGAGGACCAGACUCAGGGCACCGUGAGGACCAGAGUCAGCAUCUAGUGAGGACAAGUGUUAGGCCCUAGUGAGUAUGAGAGUCAGGCCCUGGUAAGGAUUUGAGUCAUGCCAUAAUUAGAACUAGAGUCAGGCCACCGAGAGGACCAGACUCAUGGCCCAGUGAGAAACAGUCCUCCAAUGAGGACGAGAAACAGUCCCCAGUGAGGCAGAGUCAGGCCAUAUUGAGGCAAAGGUUCAGGAC
ensembl:lncRNA